UGAGUAAGCCAGAUGGUCGCGUGUGCAUCGCCCAAAGGCAGCACAUGAGGAAAGUCCGGGCUCCAAAGGGCAGGGUGCCGGGUAACCCCCGGUCAAGGCGACUUGAAGGAAAGUGCAACAGAAAUAAACCGCCUUCCGCGAAGGAAGGUAAGGGUGGAAAGGUGAGGUAAGAGCUCACCGGUUUCCUGGCGACAGGAAACGCUCUGUAAACCCCACCUGGAGCAACACCGUGGAAAAGGAUCAAUGGCAGCCCAGCCGAUCCUCGGAGGUGGCUUGAGCCUCGUAGUAAUACCAGGCCUAGAUAGAUGAUCAUCAAAUACAGAACCCGGCUUACAGGCUUACUCAAAAU
rnacentral:RNase_P_RNA from 1 species